ensembl:lncRNA
UGAAGUCACAUCCUGCCUAACCCAACUCAACAUGAUUUAUUCCACCCCAGGAAUGCAGCUCGAUUCCCAGAAUUUGGUCGACAACUUUAGUCAAAAGGCUUGAUCUUGCAAGGGCUCCAUUUAUAGGCUCCGCUGCACUGGCAGCCAGGGGGAGCCCCAGCUCAGCUCAGACCUGCAGGAGGGAAUCCCACAAAGUCAGGGCUGUGACAAGCACCCACAGCCAUCUCAGCCUGGAAGCUCCAAUUUUUUUCUAAAUUUCACCCAGGACAAAAUUUGCAUAUAUACAUACAUAUAUUUAAUUUUAAAACUUUUUAUCACAAAUACAGGCAAACAUAUUGAACAAAAGCUUCACAAAAUGAUGCAUACAUGGUGAAAGAUCUGAUACUUUCUACUUGAGUCUAUUUUAUUUCGUUUCUAAAAAUACUGAUUGCCACCCACUAAAGUAAUUUCACGACCCGCCAUUGAGUCUUAGCUGACAGUGUGGAAAACACCGGCUUGACUCAAACUUCACUGGGCAGGAGAGACUUAACUAGACCAUCCACUGGCCCACGGUCACUUCACGAGCUAGCCCAAGAAGAACUCAAGUCCAAAGCCAAAGAGGAAUCUCUGUGGGGGUCCAGCCUCCGAGAGCUGAGAAGGUCUCAGGAAGAGGUCUGAGGAGGCAGAGCUACAACCAGGAUAACCCAGUGCGCAGUGCCAGCCCUGGGCACAGGAAGACAUAAAGAACAGUACCAUGCUUUCCAGAGCUGAGUGGGCAAGCUGCAGCUCAGAGCUGAGUGGGCAAGCUGCAGCCCAGAGCCUCCUGCCUCCCUGGAGAAGAUGAACCAUGGAGUGAAGAAAGCCAUUUCACACUUUCAAGAAAAAUUAACUUACAGUUCCUAGAGUGAGCUGCACAGCACCCUUGUCUGAAACCUGGCCAAUCCCAGCUGUCCUGGAGCAGGGAGCCUGGCUGGCAGGGAUGACCUCAUGAUGUCCUUCACCAGAAACCUGGCUGCUGUGUAUUUUACCACCCACCAAGCACUGCUCCUGGGUCCAAGCCGCAGUCUGGUUCCAAAGUGGCAAGGGCUAUACAAGACAGAAGGAAGAAGCAGUAGCCCCUUCCCUAGGAAGACACAAAUUCAGCCACAUCAUCCUGGCCUGGCCCAAUUCCUAUACCCACUCACCCCGCCAAGACAUUCAAUAAAGAGCUAUAUACAUACAGAAUACAGAGAUCUGUGCACAGAGACCUGUGUACUCACAGAUGCCUGUACACACACACCCCGAGGAUGCUGGGAUCAGAGCAGAAAUGUGAGCCAUUCCUGGGCCAAGCCAAUCUGUAUAUAAGCGCUGCAUUCUCUAUUUAGCAAGAAUCUAGGUGAAUUAUUUAAUCAUUUCUUUAUUGCUAAAAUAGGAUUUAGGAAAGCCUCCUCAAAGGACGGUAGGAGCAUGUGUGCACAAUUAAAUAAGAGCCAUAACACUUCGUUCUGAGUGCUUUUGGAGUAAUCACCCAUAGUAUCCCUAUGAGGUAGGUUUUUCUGGUAUGCUGCUUUGCAGAUGGGGAACCUGAAGCCCAGAAUGUGUACACAACUGCUGGUGGUGUCUACACCACUCGGUGCUCUUGGGGGGGGUCUCUGCCUAACCACGUGACUCCUUGCUUCAGAGGAUACAAUGAGGCAGCAAAUGCAC